rnacentral:rRNA from 1 species
UACGUAGGGGGCAAGCGUUGUCCGGAUUUACUGGGCGUAAAGAGCGUGUAGGCGGCCACGCAGGUCCGUUGUGAAAACUGGAGGCUCAACCUUCAGACGUCGACGGAAACCGUGUGGCUAGAGUCCGGAAGAGGAGAGUGGAAUUCCUGGUGUAGCGGUGGAAUGCGCAGAUAUCAGGAGGAACACCAAUAGCGAAGGCAGCUCGCUGGGACGUUACUGACACUGAGGCGCGAAAGCGUGGGGAGCGAACAGG